UGAGUGAGAUUAUUUUGUCGUG
rnacentral:piRNA from 1 species